rnacentral:rRNA from 1 species
CCUACGGGAGGCAGCAGUGAGGAAUAUUGGUCAAUGGGCGCAGGCCUGAACCAGCCAAGUCGCGUGAGGGAAGACUGCCCUAUGGGUUGUAAACCUCUUUUAUAAGGGAAGAAUAAUGACUACGUUUAGGCAGAUGCCCGUACCUUAUGAAUAAGCAUCGGCUAACUCCGUGCCAGCAGCCGCGGUAAUACGGAGGAUGCAGGCGUUAUCCGGAUUUUUUGGGUUUAAAGGGUGCGUAGGCGGUAUUUUAAGUUAGUGGGAAAACGUCGGGGCUUCACCUUGAUUGGCCAUUAAAAAUGGAGUACUAGAGUACAGACGAGGUAGGCGGAAUAAGUUAAGUAGCGGUGAAAUGCUUAGAUGUAACUUAGAACCCCGAUAGCGAAGGCAGCUUACCAGACUGUUACUGACGCUGAAGCACGAGAGCGUGGGUAGCGAACAGGAUAGAUACCCGUGUAGUC